ACCACCUUCGCCUAGUGGUACAUGUCCCGCAUUCGUUUCAAUUUGAGAAUGCGAAACAUCCCAGGUUCGAUUCCUGGAGGCGGAG